rnacentral:rRNA from 1 species
CGCCUUGCCAGCCCGCUCAGAAACUUAAAUGAAUUGACGGGGGCCCGCACAAGCGGUGGAGUAUGUGGUUUAAUUCGAUGCAACGCGAAGAACCUUACCUGGUCUUGACAUCCCGGAGACCCUUAGGAAACUAGGGGGUGCUUCCAUCUGGAAGAAUCUGGAGACAGGUGCUGCAUGGCUGUCGUCAGCUCGUGUCGUGAGAUGUUGGGUUAAGUCCCGCAACGAGCGCAACCCUUGCCUUUAGUUGCCAGCAGUUCGGCUGGGCACUCUAAAGGGACUGCCGGUGUUAAACCGGAGGAAGGUGGGGAUGACGUCAAGUCCUCAUGGCCUUUAUGACCAGGGCUACACACGUACUACAAUGGCCGAUACAAAGGGCAGCGACACUGCGAGGUGAAGCCAAUCCCGUAAAAUCGGUCUCAGUCCGGAUUGGAGUCUGCAACUCGACUCCAUGAAGUUGGAAUCGCUAGUAAUCGUGGAUCAGCAUGCCACGGUGAAUACGUUCCCGGGCCUU